UCCGAAGGGGGCUAGCGUUGUUCGGAAUAACUGGGCGUAAAGCGCAUGUAGGCGGAUUUUUAAGUCAGAGGUGAAAUCCCAGGGCUCAACCCCGGCAUUGCCUUUGAUACUGGAGAUCUGGAGCCUGGGAGAGGUGAGUGGAAUUCCGAGUGUAGAGGUGAAAUUCGUAGAUAUUCGGAGGAACACCAGUGGCGAAGGCGGCUCACUGGCCCGAGACUGACGCUGAGAUGCGAAAGCGUGGGGAGAAAACAGG
rnacentral:rRNA from 1 species